rnacentral:rRNA from 1 species
CCUACGGGAGGCAGCAGUGGGGGAUAUUGCACAAUGGGGGGAACCCUGAUGCAGCGACGCCGCGUGGGUGAAGGAGCGUUUCGGCGCGUAAAGCCCUAUCGGCAGGGAAGAAGGAGGACGGUACCUGACUAAGAAGCCCCGGCUAACUACGUGCCAGCAGCCGCGGUAAUACGUAGGGGGCAAGCGUUAUCCGGAUUUACUGGGUGUAAAGGGGGCGCAGACGGCAGCGCAAGCCAGGAGUGAAAGCCCGGGGCCCAACCCCGGGACUGCUCUUGGAACUGCGCGGCUGGAGUGCAGGAGGGGCAGGCGGAAUUCCUGGUGUAGCGGUGAAAUGCGUAGAGAUCGGGAGGAACACCAGUGGCGAAGGCGGCCUACUGGGCUUUAACUGACGCUGAGGCACGAAAGCGUGGGUAGCAAACAGGAUUAGAUACCCCGGUAGUC